UUUAAGUUUUUUUUUUUCUUCUAUUUCAAGUUUUCCCUUUUAUUUCAGGUUCACGAUAUAUAGCUAGCUGGACUGAUCUCCCAAGGAUGGAAGUUUCUCGACGACAGGUGGUUGCAGGAUGGCUUUCUGUCCGUCCGUUUUAUAGUCUGUUCGGGUAUUUCAGGUGAGUAACAAAAAAAUAUAUUAUAAUUACCUUUUAAAUAAUUUGUUAUUUUUUUUCUCUGUAUAUACUGGUUUCCGGCAACCUAUGAGUUCAAAUCUACCUCGGGAUUAUUCUUAACUAGGCCUGAGCUCAAUCCUAUCUUUCUCGCGCACGCUUGGACCAAUUUCAUCCAGCGGACUGGCUUCGAGCAACUAACGUAAGGACUGGUUCUGUUCGUCCUGUCGUUCGGGUAAGAGGUACACUUACUAGGUCGAAAACCUUAAUACCUGGACACCACAGGACUGAUGGUGCGGAUCUGCCAAAGUAGUCCCACGAUGGAUGGAGCUGGCGAUGGCGUGGCUCAGCGUUGGCUGAUUUAGUUUUAAGUUUCUGUUUUAUUUAGCUUUAAGUUUAACUUUAUUUAGUUUUAAGUUUUAUUUUAAGUUUUGUUUUAAAUUUGUAAGUUAUUAAAUGAAUAAAAAAAAAAAUAUUCAAUUUAAA